rnacentral:rRNA from 1 species
ACUCCUACGGGAGGCAGCAGUGGGGAAUCUUGGACAAUGGGCGCAAGCCUGAUCCAGCCAUGCCGCGUGAGUGAUGAAGGCCCUAGGGUCGUAAAGCUCUUUCGCCAGGGAUGAUAAUGACAGUACCUGGUAAAGAAACCCCGGCUAACUCCGUGCCAGCAGCCGCGGUAAUACGGAGGGGUUAGCGUUGUUCGGAAUUACUGGGGCGUAAAGCGCGCGUAGGCGGACUGGAAAGUUGGGGGUGAAAUCCCGGGGCUCAACCCCGGAACUGCCUCCAAAACUCCCAGUCUUGAGUUCGAGAGAGGUGAGUGGAAUUCCGAGUGUAGAGGUGAAAUUCGUAGAUAUUCGGAGGAACACCAGUGGCGAAGGCGGCUCACUGGCUCGAUACUGACGCUGAGGUGCGAAAGUGUGGGGAGCAAACAGGAUUAGAUACCCUGGUAGGAUAGCC